GCCCUGCUGACGAGUCUCAAACAGGACGAAACAGCUGUCCAGUGC
rnacentral:hammerhead_ribozyme from 1 species